UGAUCUUAGGAAGUGAUCCCUCAUUAGUAGCUGUCAGUAAAGAAAGGUGGCCAGCCUUUACCACGUACAUAAAGUGGCAAAGCUGAAUUCUCACUAAUUUCUCCUAAGACUAUUUUACAGAUAAUUCAUCCACUUUAACAAACCAAGCUGAUCCUAAGGUUGAUCUUGCUGACAGAACAUAAAAAGCUGUUGUUGUUGUUUUUUUUCCCUCAUUGCUACUAAGCAUAGAAGUUAUUAAUUCAAACAACUGAUAAUGAGUUUUAAGGAGACACUUAAUGUGUAACAUGGAAAAUAAUGCAUCAUUUUUGUCAAAUUCUGUGAAAAAUUUAAUCUACAAGACAGACAGAACCAUUAAAGUGAAACUGAUCAUUAAUGGAUGCUGAUUUAACAACAAAGUUAUUGCCUAUUCACAUGUUAUAUCCUUUGGAGGGGUGACUUUGUGUAUAUCCCCAUAUACGUGUGCUACACAUUUAUAAAAAUUCAACUAGUCUCAAAAGUUGAUUCUCCUAAGGCCUAUAGUCACCAUCUCAGUUCUGUGUUUCACAAAUUAGUAGUUUUUAGAAGUAGCUUUUGCUACUUUUUUUUUUUUUUUAAUGGUAGGUCUACUGUUUAGGUCUUAUGCAGAUACCAUCCCGAUGACUUUUAGAAUGUAUCAUGUCUUUUUAUCCGUAAUGAAUGACUAUUAGCAUCAAUUUUUAUUACAUUCAAAAUAACCAUCAAUUUCUCCUUCAAUUACAUGUUUAAAUGUCAUGUGGUUAUGUACUGCCUCAUGAAUUAGACAGCAAUCAGAACCAGAGUGACUUUACAUUGAACUGACCCAUACAAGAUAAGUGGUCUGAAUUACAGAGAAAAAAAAGGAGGGGGACAGAUUUAAGGGAUCAUCUGAGAAGAGAAAGAAAGGGUGGGUACAAGAGGAACUUUCAAAGACAAGUGCCAGGGGAAAUUGCUGCCGUCCUCAAUUUGGGGCUUAGCCUUGGUGCUAAUACAUGUCAAGAGAUGCACGCAUACACAUCCCCAAGUCCACCUCUGCCGACGUGGUUGGCUCUCUGCUCUUUCUGUUGCACACACAAUGUCUUUUAGAGGCAGCACAUGAAAGGCCCUGUGACAUUACAUUUUAAACCGCAAGUUUACACGUAGGGUGUGAACUUUAGCCAGUUAUUUACUGAGCACCCACCAGUUCCAGAUAUUGUCUUCAGCUCUGGGAAUCCAGCAAACAAGACAUCUGGGAUUCUGAUUUUAUGGGGCUUUCAGUAUAAUGGGGAGGAAAGGCAUUAAACAAAUAAUUGUGGAUGUUAAGUGCUAUAGAGGAGAAGCCAGGCUGCUGUGGAGAAGUGAAACAGACAGGUGAGCAUGAAAGGGACUGGGGAGAAAGCUUCUUCAGGCACUGCCACUGAGACAGAAACCUGAAGGAUGAAGCACAGUUCUGGGUAAUGGCUCCACCGCUACUUAGCUCUCAACUCCAAAAGGUGCCAUUAACUUAAACCAUGAUACAAAUACAUGGAUCCCCAGCAGCAAUUGCACCCUGACUGCCCACUAUUGCCUCUGAGGAUGAGUAGGAGUUAGUUAACUGAUUAUCAGAAGAGAUGGGGAGAAAAUCGUUACAUAAAGAAGAGCAUUACAUCCCUGGGGUAAGAAGAAGCAGAGUGGCUGCAAAAGAAAGUAGGAAACCCAAAGGCUGAGUUUUGCAUACAAUGUUAUAGAUGCAUCUUUUUCUUCUAAAAUAAAUUGAAAGUCCAUUUGCAUGAAGUACAUUGAAAAUGUUACUUAGAAUUAAGAUCUAAUUUCAGGAGGACAAAAUUGGAUGUGGAGGCUAAGGUUUAGACUUUUCUAGCCGUAAUGCUGAGAACUGGCUGUUGACCAGGAUUAUUACCGUAACAAAAUUCUAGGCAACACUACAAUGUACACUACUUGGGUAUGGGAAGUAAUAAAUAGCAAUGAAUCAAGAAUGACGCUGAACGCCUAUGGUCAAUUAAUCUUUGACAGAGAGGCCAGAAUAUAUAAAAUGAGGGAAACAUAGUACCUUCGGCAAGUUAUAUUGGGAAAGCUGGAUAACCAAAUGUACAUCAAAAGAGUUAGAACACACCCUCAUACCCUACACAAAAAUAAAUUUGAAAUGGCACAAAAGCUUAAAGAUAAGACAUAAAACUCCUAGAAGAGAACGUAGGCAUAAUAUUCUCUGGCAUAAAUUGUGCCAAUGUUUUCUAAGGUCAGUGUACCAAGUCAAUACAUAUAAAGACAAAAUAUGCAAAUGAGACGUAAUCAAACUAAUAAGCUUUUUGCACAACAAGGAAACCAUAAGUAAAACAAAGAGACAAUCUACUGAAUAGAAAAAAUAUUUGCAAGC
ensembl:lncRNA